GGAAGUUGAACAUUUUGUGUGACGCCCGAUGCUGGGUUGUCGUAGCAGCUUUCUCUGCAAAGGAAUGUCGCUGCUAUAUCACUGUUGGGAUGGAAGUUUGACAGAUGUCUUGAGAAAAAGAUGCUGGGAUUGCAGUUUCUUAUCAUAUUAAAUAGUCAUGAUGGUCAAAACAACAUGGUAGUUACUUCUACCGCCGACUGGUGAGCAAGAACAUCUGGUCAGGUUUAAAAGAACAGCUGUUAAAUUCAGAGUCAAUAUUUAGUCAUUUGGCAUCGUAUUUGCAUGUAAGAAUGGACACUUAACUUCACCAGCCAUCAGGACACACUGUCACGCUUUUCCUCCAGUUGUUGUGUGACGAGUUAUCAGUGGAGGUCCACUGCACUACCUCUUGUUUCUAUACAAGCUUUGUGAAGCCUCAUCAAGAUGUUUUCAGCCCUGAAGAAGCUGGUGAGCUCUGAGCCAGGGCAGCUCAGAGAGAAGAACAUUCCAGCUGGCUUGCAGUCGAUGAACCAAAGUUUGCAGAGACGUUUUGCCAAAGGGGUUCAGUAUAAUAUGAAAAUAGUCAUCAGGGGAGACAGAAACACUGGUAAGAGUACCUUAUGGCAUCGACUGCAGGGAAAAAAAUUUGCGGAGGAGUAUAUACCCACUCAGGAGAUCCAGGCCACAAGUAUCCAUUGGAAUUACAAAACUACUGAUGAUGUGGUCAAGGUAGAGGUUUGGGACGUAGUAGACAAAGGCCAAAAGUAUCUUCUUCCUGAAGGUGUAGGCAAAGGCAAAAGGCGUGGAGACAAUUUGAAACUGGAGAAUGAGCCUCAAGAGUCAGAUGAGGUGGCCCUGGACGCAGAGUUCCUGGAUGUGUACAAGAACUGCAAUGGAGUCAUUAUGGUGUUUGACAUUACCAAGCAGUGGACAUUUAACUACAUCCUGAGGGAACUGCCCAAAGUACCUACCCAUGUGCCAGUGUGUGUGUUGGGAAACUACAGGGACAUGGGCGAGCAUCGCGUCAUCCUCCCUGAUGAUAUUAGGGACCUGAUUGCUGGACUGAACAGGCCAAUGGGAUCAUCUUACAUCCACUAUGCAGAGUCCUCCAUGAAGAAUGGGUUUGGCUUGAAAUAUCUGCACAGAUUUUUCAACAUCCCCUUCCUGCAGCUCCAGAGAGAGACCCUUCUGAGGCAGCUGGAGACCAACCAGUUGGAUAUGGAUGCCACCUUGGAGGAGCUCUCUGUCCAGCAGGAGACUGAAGAUCAAAACUAUGAGAUUUUCCUGGAGAACUUGGAGUCUCGCUGUAAAGGCUAUGGCUCUCCUGGUCCAGCCAACGGUCAGAGUCCUUCGUCGGGCUCACAGUCUCCCAUUGUCCCUCCCAGUGGGGCCUCCACGGGGAGCUCCAGCCCCAGCACCCCUCAGCCCCCCAUCGCUUCCCAGGUGCUCCCACAUUCACCAUCUGUGUCUGUGCCCUCCCCUCCGCCUCCCAUUUCAGCAGUUAGCUUGGUAGCUUCACCUACUGCUGAGUCAAAGCCAUCAGCCCAGUCUCCUGAACACCUUCAGUCGUCAGCUGCAUCUGGAAUGUCGGCCCCCCAGAAACGCAGCUUCAUUUCCCGCUGGUUUGGUUCAUCAGCUGCUACUGACUCUCCUAUUUCUGCAACAGAGGACCCUCCUGCACCAGUGUAUCCAGCUAAGGUUCAGAGUGUGGAUGAUUUUGUGCCAGAUGAGAGACUGGACAAGAAUUUCUUGGAAGACAGCCUGCCCUCGAAGACCAAGGUGCCUCCAGCUGCAGACAGCGACAGUGAUGGUGAAGCCAGAGGAAACCCCAUGGUGUCUGGUUUCCAGGAUGAGCUUGAUCCUGAUGACAAUGAGCCUGGCCUUCCUCAACCUAAGACUUUGCCCCACAAUAAAGAUAUCGCUCUGACCAGUGAUGAGGAGGAGGAAGUACCAGCAAUCCCCACUAUCGCACAGGACCAAGACUUCGACAGUGAACCGGAGCUUAAAGCACCUGUGAUCCACAUCACAAAACCAAAGGUGGCAUCUAAAGCUCCGGAGCCCAGAGGCCAGACCACAGUGCCCAUCUCCCUCACUUUAUCUCCAGCAGCAGAGCAGCUGACCAGACACCAAGGCAAGAAGAAGGGAAAUGCACCCACAGCCGAGGACUCUGAUACUGACCCCGAGGCCCCUGUAGCCCAGCAGAUGCUCUCUUUUGUCAUGGAUGACCCUGACUUUGAGUCUGAAGCAUCAGACACACCAAAAACGGCAAAGGAUAUAUUCCCAGUCAGGGACGAGCUUCUGUCUGACCUCUCUGACGAUGACGUGCAGUUAGCCAAGGUGCCAGAACCUCUGAAGCCCACUGUGAUCUCCUUCAAGCACAAGGAUGAUGCUGAUCUGUUUGGCCUUGGCAUCCAAGAAGAGGCACCCGCAACCAAGGACAGCAGCGAGGACCAGGAAGAGAAAGAAAUCAAACACUUCUCUAAAGAAAAGAAGAAAAAGAAGAAGAAAAGCAAAGAGGAGGAGGACAAGAGCAAGAAGAAACACAAACACAAGAAAAAGGAAAAAGACGAAGCUGCUGCAGAUGACAAAGAGAAAAAGAAAAAGAAAUCCCGGACCAAGAAGACAGAAGUGGAUGAGCUGGAGAACUUUCUGGGCGGAGGAGCAGGAUUGAUCAAAAGAGAUGAUUGUGAUUAUGAAGAACUAUAAAAGUUCCUGUUUUCUGAGAACAUGGAGUCAGUGAACAGCAGUGGGGCACGUGGUCACUCACCAGGUCCAACUUCCUGGUUUCUUGACUUGUAUGUGCAAAAAGCAGCAUCUCCAAGCCAUACACAAGGCUCCUCACAAUGCCCAGGUAAAAUAACAAGGACUCUGGUACCUGUCUGCUCCUUCUGAUUGAUUCUCCCCAUCUGCACUACUGCUGUCACUUCCAUUGCAGCCAGUACUGUAUUGAGCUGUGACACAUAAUUAGAUGAUAGGUUAAGCCACAAAUUGGCUCUUUGUACUUUUACAUGAUUGAGUAUAUGGGCUUAAUGUUUAGUUUGAUUUGAUACACUCUGCAGGUAAUCCACUCUGAAUCAGCUACUGUACAUAAGGUUUCUAUUUUGUCUGAAUGUGUGGUUAGUGUAAUAACUGAGAGCAUGCUCAAAGUGAUAACUGACUCUUUAGAGACACCAGUGUCCAUUGUCCCCUCUGUCUUUCCUUUAUGUUGGCUUAAAUGAUUAAGGGCAGAUCUUUGGGUUUUGUGUCUAAUUGUGAACCCUGAAGAGGAAUUCAGAGCAAGCUGAUUUAAGAAUUGCACCCAUUAGCAACAAAGGAAACUUCACUUAAACUUGUUUCAUUCUUAGGCUAUGUCCACACUAACCACUUUACAGUGUCUCUUUCCCCGUCUUUGUUGCUCUUUUGGCCACACUAAGCCUGCAUUGUUUUUAUGCACAAACUGAGCUUUUGGAAACAGUCUCCAAAGUGGAUACAUCUUAAAAUGGCUCAGUUUUAAGUGUAAUAGGUGGCAGCAAAGUUAAGAAGAUGAGUUUAAGUCAACUCUGCCAUCAUACUGACAGUUUAAAAAGUGAUCACAGAGGUGUCAUAAUGGCCUGUCACACAGUACAGGGGGUGUCAUUAGGCUGUAUUUUUGGUUAGACUUUGACCUACUUUUCACCACAGGAGCAACGGAAAUGCAUUGGGUGGCUUUUAUGAGCUGUGAACAAGCCACUGGUUCAUGAUCUUUGCUGGCUCAGACACCACUGACAGUAGCUGUUAUAGGAGCUGUAGAUAGCAAGUCUUCCCUUGGAACAAGUGAUUGAAAAGUGACUGACGCUCCCUGUAUUUUUGACAGGUCUAAUGUGGGCAGAAUGGAGGUUAUGAGAAUGCUUAUUAAUGCCAGGUGUCAAUCUAAAGGCCUGUGGGUCAGAUCAGAUGUCCAGGCGAUGAAUUCAGUUAGAGUAGCAGGUGUAAAUAUGGCUGAAGACAGUGUAAGUAAUGAUGGACAGCAGGAGAGGAAAGAACAGCUUUGUCAUUCUGAGUAACUGGGCUGUCUGUCUCACUCUUUACCAGAUUACAUUAUCAGUCAAGUUUAGACCAUGACAUCAGCCCUGUAACAGCACAACAGUGUGUUUUAUGGAAUAAAGAUCAGCAUCGGGUGUGACAGCUACUUGUUUUUGACAUAGUGGAGGAAAACCAAUGCAGCAUCAUGGACUUACAGGCAGAACUUUUCACCUCCUCUCAUAUAGAAAAUGAAGGUGUCGUAAAACACAUUUUAUGUUAUUGGAUUACAUUUCAAGUUAACUGAAACGUUUUAUUUAAUUUCAGUUAACAUACAAUCGAUCACACACAGCCUCUUUUUUUGCAGCCUGGGAAAGGAAAAGAUGGUGUACCUUCACUGUCUAGUCACUGAAUUGUUUGUGAUUCAUUUUCUGUUCCUAAAUGUGUGGUUACAUAUGUAAACAUUUCUUUCUGGUGCUUUCAGGUGGAACACUUGAUCUGUAACUAACACUGUAUGUCAUACUCUUAUGUCUUAUUGCACAGAAUUAGUCUCCUGAUUACCAGUUUGACAGUGAUCAACCUGAUUGAGAAACAGUUUGAGAACUCUGAUCCCACCAUGACAUGUUUUCUUGCAUAUCAGUGUGGAUGAGGACGUUUCCAGAAUUCCUAAUGUGGAUGCGUGUCAUUUUCACAGCAUGUUAACAACGACCUGGCUUAGUGUGGAUGUAGUCUUGGUAUGAAACUAACAAUGGUCCUUGGCCUUUGUCACCCCCUGAAGCUACUUUGGCAGUGAAUGGUGAUUUCAUGAUUUUAUCUUCCUGCCCUGUUAGCACAACAUAACAAUCCUUUUGCUUCCUUCCCCACCUAUCUCUGCCACACCUUAGAGGCUACUUACAAAUUCUGUUCAUGUUCUCUGCAGUUGCCUUAAUGAAGGUUACUAUGAGGCAGUCCUGUGCCGCGAUCCAUCCUGAACCAUUUUUAAGUGUUCUUAAUGUUCUCUGUAAGCCCAAUGGAGUUAAGAACGUUGUCCUAACAUUUUAUUGGUCAAACAGAAUCUCUGUCAUUCAUAAAGCCUUUUGUAAGAUUGCAUUGAAUCCAUACACUAGUUUGUCUCUUGUUUUUGUUUGAGUCUCACUGAACAGUAAAAACACCAUCCUUAAUGGAUUAUUAUGGAGCUGUGUUAUUUCUCUAUAGGUGUAACAUUUCCAGAAUGUUCUCAUUGUUUUAUCCUGUUAUUUAUUGCGUUGGUUUUGUUUUUGUUUGUGUGAUUUGUGUUUAAACCGUCUUCAGUGGUCAAACAUAUCAUCCAGCUUUUUAUGGUUAUAGUUACUUUCUCCUGGGAUACAUCCUCUAAUGUUUACUUCCACUGCUUUUAAGGAAAUUAACUUGUGCACUUUUUUGGGGGGUCAAAUGCCUCAAACUGCCUGCUCAUGGAAACAAUGUGCAGUAUCUUCCAUACAAAAUGUUUCAUAUAAGUUAUAUGUUCUUGCAUCUAAGAUGAUGAGAUCAGACAUAAUGAUGUGUAUUUUUAGAGUGGUUAAACAAGUGAUAUUUCAUACACUUUAAAUCUCCUUUACACUCUGUUGGUUUGCAAAGACUUUAUAUUUGAUUUUCCAAAGUUGAAACUAUGCAGCAUUGAUCCUGAAAACUGUAUGCUUUUUUCACCUUCUGUUAUGUGAUCAAGGAUAAAUGCUGAGAGCAGUUUCAAGCAAAGCACGAGACUUAAAUGUACAGC